rnacentral:rRNA from 1 species
UACGGAGGGUGCAAGCGUUAAUCGGAAUUAUUGGGCGUAAAGGGCGUGUAGGCUGGAAUGUAAGUCGGAUGUGAAAUCCCGGAGCUCAACUUCGGAAUAGCAUUCGAUACUGCGUUUCUUGAGGGUAGACGGAGAAAAUGGAAUUCCACAAGUAGCGGUGAAAUGCGUAGAUAUGUGGAAGAACACCUGUGGCGAAAGCGAUUUUCUAGUUUAUACCUGACGCUGAGGCGCGAAGGCAAGGGGAGCAAACAGG